rnacentral:rRNA from 1 species
GGAAUAUUGGACAAUGGGCGCAAGCCUGAUCCAGCCAUGCCGCGUGCAGGAUGACGGUCCUAUGGAUUGUAAACUGCUUUUGUACAGGAAGAAACACUGGUUCGUGAACCAGCUUGACGGUACUGUAAGAAUAAGGAUCGGCUAACUCCGUGCCAGCAGCCGCGGUAAUACGGAGGAUCCAAGCGUUAUCCGGAAUCAUUGGGUUUAAAGGGUCCGUAGGCGGUUUAAUAAGUCAGUGGUGAAAGCCCAUCGCUCAACGGUGGAACGGCCAUUGAUACUGUUAAACUUGAAUUAUUAGGAAGUAACUAGAAUAUGUAGUGUAGCGGUGAAAUGCUUAGAGAUUACAUGGAAUACCAAUUGCGAAGGCAGGUUACUACUAAUUGAUUGACACUGAGAGACGAAAGCUAGGGGAGCGAAUGGGAUUAGAUACCCGGG